rnacentral:lncRNA from 1 species
GGUAUUCCUUACACAUGUUCCAGGGCAGCUUGCCCCUUUCUCUUUUCUUCUAAUAUUCACCAGAUUCCCGGGAUUUUUUCUAAGGCAAAUCUCUGCUCGGGACACAGGCAAGAUUUUAAAAGGAGCGAGAGAUCCUAUCAUCAGUCAAUGCUGUGGACUGAGGAUAGUGUGGUGGGGGAUUUGAUGGGCCAGCCUGAGCUAUGGCUCAUGGGAAGAAGCCAGAGAAGAUCAUCAGAAUCCUGAGGCCCAGCCCUCUGUCCUGCCCUGGUCCCAUAGGAUCCACAGAAGAGUCUAAUGAAGGACCUCAUAAUGAAGGACCUCAGAAAGAAAAACCACAAGGUUUGAGGAGUAAGGGCCGUCCGCCCUGCCCUGGCCCCUUAUCCACAGGGGAACCCACUGAUGAAGGACCCCUGAGUCUGAGCAGCAAAGGUCCAACUGAAGAACCUCAUAAUGGGCCUCAGAGUCUGAAUAGUGAGGACCUUCCUCAGCACUCUCAGAGCACCAGCAUUGGAGAGCUGGACAAUAACAAUGAUGACAGGACCCCUGGGCCUGCAGCACCUGUCUCUGUCCCUGCUAGUGCAACACAGGCUCACCCAAACCAAGACCACAGUCACCUGACUCAGGCCCAGAACUACCCUCGGCAGCCAGAUGCCCAGGCCCAGGCCCAGGCCCAGGCCCAGGCCCAACCGCGACAGCCCCAGCAGCAUUGCAGAGAGAGUCCAACCAGCCCCAGUGCCACUCUUAACCAGCCGUGUAGGAUUAGUCCCUCCAGUUCACCUCUUCCUGUCCCUGCUACACCUAGUGUCUCCUCUGAGCUGUCGCUGAACCAGCCCGGUGACACCACCCUCCCUGACAGCAUGGAGGAUGAGGAGGAGGACAGCUGCUCAGAGUAUGACAACGUGGGUUCGGACGUGGAGGGUGUGGAGCAAGACAUUGAUCAGGUACUACAGGUGGAAGACCAGGGUAUGAAGGUGAGGUGUUACAAACACUAUCCUGAGCCUCAGGAUGGAAGCUAUGUAGAGAGUGAGGAUGGCAUCUAUGUGGAACACCAAGACAGAACCUACGUGGAACACCAAGACAGAACCUACGUGGAACACCGAGACAGAACCUACGUGGAACACCGAGACAGAACCUACGUGGAACACCAAGACAGAACCUACGUGGAAUGUGAAGACAGACCUUACAUAGAUCACAAAGAUGGAACCUAUGUAGAAGGUGAGGAUGGUACCUAUGUGGAGGGGAACAGCCUGGAGGGGGAUGGGAGCAGCACUGGACAAUGCAAACACACCAGGUCACUGUACGGACCUGAGUCUGAGGAAAUGGUUAUGUAUAAUGAAAGACUACGACAAGAGACAGAUACAAAUCUCUGUAGCUCUUCUGAGCAUCAGUUCAGUGACAAUCCAUGUCAUGCCCUCAAGGCUGGAGACGAGGAGGAGAAAGGGAAGGUGGAGGUGCACGAGGAGG